rnacentral:rRNA from 1 species
CGAGGACGACGCUGGCGGCGUGCCUAAUACAUGCAAGUAGAACGCUGAAGGAGGAGCUUGCUCUCUGGAUGAGUUGCGAACGGUGAGUAACGCGUAGGUAACCUGCCUGGUAAGCGGGGGAUAACUAUUGGAAACGAUAGCUAAUACCGCAUAAGAGUAGAUGUUGCAUGACAUUUGCUUAAAAGGUGCAAUUGCAUCACUACCAGAUGGACCUGCGUUGUAUUAGCUAGUUGGUGGGGUAACGGCUCACCAAGGCGACGAUACAUAGCCGACCUGAGAGGGUGAUCGGCCACACUGGGACUGAGACACGGCCCAGACUCCUACGGGAGGCGGCAGUAGGGAAUCUUCGGCAAUGGACGGAAGUCUGACCGAGCAACGCCGCGUGAGUGAAGAAGGUUUUCGGAUCGUAAAGCUCUGUUGUAAGAGAAGAACGAGUGUGAGAGUGGAAAGUUCACACUGUGACGGUAUCUUACCAGAAAGGGACGGCUAACUACGUG